ensembl:lncRNA
CUCCUUUAUUUAUAGUACUCGUGAGGUUAUUAAGAAGAUUAUGGGGAAAAGAUAAAGACUGGGGCAAUGCCUUUUGAAACCUACUGACGCUAACUGGUUUGAAACAUCCAACAUACUCACUCAUUAAGUCUGUGUUGUAAAUUGCAUCAUGGGAGAGAGCUGGCUGAUUAGCCAACUACCAUCACGUCACACAGGACUGGGACAAUGCUGGCAAGCAAAUUCAGUUAAGAGUGUAUGCACAAAGGUCUUCCACAGAAGUUUUUUUGAACCUGAGUUCAAAUGGCUUUUGUUGUUGUUGUUCUUGUCUUGUGUUUUUGUUGUUGUUGCUGUUGUUUUCUCAGAAGUACUGUCUCCUCCUCCUAUAGACUAGUUUCCUUAAAUAUGUGGACCAAGCUCAGAUUGGUUUCAGUUUGGAAAAUUUCUUUUCAGAAAGAGUGGGAAGGCAUCGGAACAGCUGCUUAGGGAGCCCAGCUGAGAGAUCCAUUGUCAAAGUUUUUGGAAAUCUUGGUCACAAGAUGGGUGGAAGUGUUGGUCAUCAGAUUCUGGAAGCUUGUGAUGAGGGAGGCAAGUGAAAAUUACAGCUUCCAGUAUGCAAUUGCCAAAUGCUCAGUCAGAAAACAGCUGCCAAUGUUUCUACAAGUACUUAAAACCAAAGAAGCUGUAUUUGGUGAAUACCAAAUGGGUAUUCUAAGGGUGUUCCUUGGGUGAUGGUAGGCUUUUAUGAAUUCCAUCUUAGAAAACUGGAAGAUUAAAUAUUGAGUUUUCCUCUUUGUUUAGGCUCUCUUUCCUCUGUGUUAUAUCUUGUUGAUAACAGAUGUUAAACCAAAGAACUCUUGAUUGAAUUUCCUCAAUACAAAAUGAUGUGGCUUCACACUGUAGUUGUCUUUAAAGGUUUGCCUGUGAGAGAUACAUUUCACACAGGUUUGUUAAUGUGUUUUCUUGUGCAAGAACAAAUUUGAAAUCUUGAUGCUGUUCAUUGCUCUGAGUUAGAGUCAACCAUUUCUUCUAGUCAUGCUAGCGUUCUGCAAUGAGAAGAUGUGAAGAACAGGGAAAGGAGAAGGGAAUUUGUGGAAGGACAUGCAUGAGUCCUAAAACUGAUUGCAUAAAAAGUCUGCUAUUGAGUUUAGCUGGUUAAAAACACUGUGUACAGACAAUAAUUUGGGAUUACUUGGCUUUGGAGCUGCGAUAGUUCCGUGAUAGUUCCUCUGCUCAGCGCAGAGAAACUGUGAGGGAAAGAGUGAAAAUUAAUGUUUUGCCAUAGAAUGAUAACUGGAUCCUAGAAUCAAUUGAGUUGGAAGCGAUCUUUAAAGCUCAUCUAGUCCAACUCCCCUGCAAUGAACAUGGACACCUACAGAUAGAUCAGGUUGCACAUACCUGACCUUGAACGUCCCCAUGGAUGAGGUAUCUACCACCUCUCUGGGCAACCUGUUGUAGUGCUUCACUAUCAUACUUUUCCUUAUAUCGAGACUAAGUAUCCCUACUUUUAAUUUGAAACAAUUUCCCUUUUUCCUAUCACAACAGACCCCACUGAAGAGUCUAUCCCCCCCCUUUUUUUAUAGCUCCCCUUUAGGUACUAAAUGAUCCCAUCACACGUGAUCAUCUUCAACAGUACAGACAGGAAAAGGUUCAGAGAAAGCUGAUAGAAAUAUUAUGGUUGGACUUGAUAUCUCCAAGGUCUUUCCAAGCCUAAAUGAUUCUGUGAUAUUUGUUAGUUAUGUUUCAGGGCUGUCAUUACAUUUUUGGUUGCAAUACAGUGAUUUAGGAAGUACUGAUAAAGGCUAGCUUUGGAGCAGUGAGGUUAGUGUUUUUGGCUGUUGGAAAAUGUGAGAGCUGCAAAAGUUGACCACUACUUGCUGUUAGCAGUGCAUCCCCAAGUUAGCCUGAGUCUCAGUUCAACCCGAACACAUGCUUAGUUUCAACACUGCCAUCCAGUUCCCCUUAAGUCAAUAAAGCAUAAGCAUGCACUCAUGUUUAUGCAGAAACUUAAUGAAGCAUGCAGCACUGCUACGUAGAGACUACUGAGUGGAGGUCUACCGUGUGAGAAGGAAAAUGGAGAGAUCCAGAUAUACUGCAGAAAGGAUCUUAACUGUAUGACAGGAGAAAAAUGUAACUGAUGUAAUUAUUUUCUUGUACUUGGCUCUGAUAUAAAUUUAUUCAGUUUCUGGUAUAAGGAAUAUGACAACUGUUUUAGAAAUAUGUUUUACAUUACAGGAUGCAUUUUCAUUUGGUCAAAAAACUGGCCAUAAAUCAGGUUGAAACAUAUCUCCAGUACUGAAAGCCUCGGCAAGGGUUUACAACUAAUGUUAAUGCAGAGUCUUCAAGAGGAUAGAAGAAUGGUGAAUCUGUAUCACUAAAUUAAUGGGAUUGCUGCUUUAAUGGUACAGUUUAAGAAAAGAAAAUCCUUAAAUAUUUGAAAAUGAAAAAUUGAUUUAUUAUUUUUAUUUUAUUUUAUUUUAUUUUAUUUUACUUUAUUUUUUCCUUGUGAGGCUCUGAAAAUUCUGGCUUUCCAAUCCAUUCUUUUAGCUAUUAUUAUGUGAUGAGAAUUUUUUAUUAAAUUCUAAGCUUCCAUAUCACCUAAGAUUUGUACUAACACUAUCUCCAAUCCAGAUAAAGCUUUCUGGAUUCUAAAUCUACUUGGAAAACUCUGAUAGAGCUCAACAAAAAAGGUAAGAUAUGGUGGCUUGAGAGCAGGAAACAGCAGCAAACAGCAAUACAUGUAAGAGAACCAUUUUCUUUCUUUCCUGUUUACUCCAGCUGAAGAACUGGCUACAGCCAAACAGAAAAAUGGAGCAUUAGGACUUAAAUGAGUAUAUUAUCUUAAGCGAUCACUGUGAGCACCUCAGUCAAAUUUACAGUGGAAACUUAACCUGACUUGUGCUACCUACCAAAAGAAAUUCCUCUUGCACUCUGGCGUAAAAAUUGAGGAGGGCAUCUCCUCCACUUAAUGGAAGUAAUAAUUGAAUGUAUGGUUUUAAUCAUGAUAAUCACAGUCUAGACUUGCUGAUAAAUCUAGAUGCUGAAAAUGAUUUAAUACUCGACAGACUGAAAUGAUACAAGUUUAAAUAUAGAAUUCUCCUCUCAGCAUGGCUUCUGUCUUUUUGAAAACACAGAGCUCUGUCCCUGUUGAUCCAGGUUCACUCACUGGUAGGUAAGUGAAUGUGCAGAAUUCCCUCUUCAUCAAACGUAUUUGGUAGUUACAUAUUAAUACCUAUACACAAAAUACUGUCUUUCUGAUCUUUGAUAGAAAGUACUCUUUUUAUGUACAAGGGCUGUUCCAAAAGUAAUGGCUCCUAUUGUAUUAUAUCAGUCCAUGAUGUUGUCAGAUGUGGAUCUUGGUGGUACAGCAGCAGAGGUUGAACCUUCCCACCAAUAUUCCAUUACUCUUGUUGCCAUGUGACAGAUGGCAGCAGCAGAGCUGUCUGACCAAAUGGCAUCUGACAUGGAAGCGCAUAUGAAGCAAAGGUGUCACUGAAUUCCUCCGUGCAGAAAAUAUGGCACCCAUUGACACUCAUCAACGCUUGCUGAAUGUUUAUGGAGACCAAACAGUGGAUGAGAGCACAAUGAGAUGGUGGGUGGUGCAUUUCGGCAGUGGCAACAGUGACAGUGGGUCACCUCCACCAGUGCAGAUUUUUAGGAGUACAGUAUGCAGGGUCUUGUUCAUUGCUGGCAAAAAUGCAUAGCUACUAGUAGUGACAAUGCUGAAAAACAGUUCUUUGUAGCUGAGAAUUUGCUCUAUUAAAUGGUAUUAUUGUGCUCUUUGUAUCUCUUGUGGUUUCCAUGGAAAAAAAAAAAAUAUGAGGCAUUACUUUCAGAGCAACCUGUGUGUUUAAGUUUCAACACCACGAUCUUCUCCAUGACAGCUUCAGCAGCAACGAGGGCCUGGAAAGAGGAGACAGAAGUCUUUUUGCUUCUCUGACAGCGUAAUAAAGGUGACUGUGUCCUUCCCUCCAGUUCAACGGAGAUGCAACCAGGAUCAAUCUUUUUAAUGCAGCCACAACGAAGGAAAAAUUGAAAAGGAUGCUCUCAACAUGAUUUGUGAGAAGAGCUACAAAACUGUCUGGAAAAUUUCUCCUCGACAGAAAGACGGAAGAAGCUCGGUUUCUUUAGCUUAUUACAGUGGAGUCUGAGCACGGAUUAGAUCAUAGAGCUCUGUGGGAACAAGCUAAAAAUAAACGACAGUAUUAUCAUGAAGACUGAUUUACAAACAUUUACCGAACUUGCUGUACCAAGCACUGGCCAGUGAAAUAUGGAAAAUGCCUGAGAAGAAUCAGCAAGCUUCACUCUGCUGUGGUGGGAAAGCUUUAGCACAAGUUUGCUUAAAGCCACUUCACUAAGCACAGAGUGACGCAAAUGUGGGGAUCACGGCAAGGAGACACAGCAUCUGUUCUGUCAGUGAGCUCAUGGGGUGCCCUCCCAUGGCUGGUGCACCCUUGAUGAUGAUGCUGGGGUGAGAGAAAGGGAUGCAGCACAGGCAGACAUGUUCUCCUUUUCUUCCUCCACGUGUGGGAGCACAUCUGAGUUCACUGUGGAUGUGGAACAGCCUAAAAUAGAGUGUAAAACCUGAACACAAUAAUACCACUGGGACACCACGUGUAAAUGCAAGGAGAAGCAAAUGAUUAGCCUAGCAAAAAGAGGUGUUUGGGAAGAGACCCCCAGGAGGGGAACUACCUGUUAAUAAUGAGUCUUGAUGAACCACAUCUAUAUGCAAGUGAUGCUGCAAAAAAUUCAGACACCAGGCAUUUGUUUUCUCUCUUUCCUCAGCCAGAACAUCAUUGUGUUUUUUUUCCUUAGCUCUGCAACUCAAGUUAUUAAUUAACAAGUAUUAUCAAGGGAGAUUUUGCUGUAGGUUGUCAAUUUACAAAUAACUUUUCUAAUUUAAAACCUGAUCUGGAGACCUAUUGCUGCCAAAAUACAGCACAUUAAAUUCCAGUUAAGUACUUAAUUAAUAUAGAUAAGUGUAAACUACAAAUUGCCCUUAUGAUGCAGGUAUGGAACCUCCCUAGACAAUGCAAACAUCAAGGUUCAAGCAGACAGAACAGGGAUAUAGGAUUAGCUACAUCUGCAUUUCUAGUUUGGAUAGUUCAUUAACAAAGGGUUGGCAUAAUAUUUACUGUUCCUUGUUCUCAGUGUUUAUUGCUAGCAUCAUAUUCAUUGAACAGUACACUACUAUUAGGCUUGUAGUUGCAGUUGGAUGCUUCCCAUUGCUUUCAUUUCUUCCACGGCACGCCAAGAUUUUAACAGCUUCAAGGUCUAACCAUGCAGUUUCUGCUCUGCCUGACAAAAUUCCCAUUGGAUUACAUGUUGUGAGAUUAUUUCAGUAUUUGGAUGCACAGUAAAAAAAAAAAAAUAGGCGGGGAGGGUGGAGGAGAUGGGAGUAUUCCUUGCCUUUCUCUGUAUAAUCUUCCCUGCCAGGAAUGGAGAGCAAAGAAUCUGUUAUGGCCUAACACACUUCCCUACUGUAUCAAUUCCAGGUGAAACAAGCCCCCUUGAGAGCUCUGCAAGGUGAGAGACAAGUUGUGCUCACCUCAAUGCAGCCAUUUUUCUUCCCUUGUCUCUCUGGAGAUGAAUGAGCCCAUCCUUCCCCCCAGCCAGUGCCAGCUCACAUUUCCUUUAACUUCAUUGGAGAGCUGUCUAGCAUCAUUCAGUGCCUGGAUAAUUAACUGAAAAGCCCCAUUGUUUUCUUGCUUCAAAGUGCAGAGAAUUUGGCUUGGUAGUGCUAAUGGGAUUGCAUGUCAUUUGUGGAAUUUGCUUAAUCACCGCAUAUUGACUUUCUGUCGAAAUCAGAUUAUUUUAGCCAUAUUGAUUGCACAGUAAUAAAAUUGCUGUGAAAAUCUUUUCAUUAAAUUUUAUAAAUAUCCCUGCUAAUUCAAUGUAUAUGCCCCGUUGUUUUCAUUUGGCUCCCUAAUGAUUAAACCAGUUCUUUCAACUUGAUUGUACAGUAAUGUCUGAAAGUAUUGAUAAGUGACCUUUCCAUUUUAUUUGAUAUUAAGCACUGUGCCACUUGGUUUUAAAACUGGAGAACAUUCACUGUUCAUUUCUACGUAACCCUAGUCACAUUUGUGUGUACGUGCCUACAGGCAGAACUGUGUGGUUUGUGGCAGAAGCAUGUCCCAUUCACUAGCUCAACCUCUAAAGGUGAUGUGUUGCUACGCCAUUGCAUUCCUCAUUUGCAUUUGUAACCCCCCAGAAUUGGAGAGCCAAAAUGCCCCAGCAUUUUCAUAAGUCACUGCAAGGAAGAACUUUAAAGAAAUAUUCUGCUAAGGUUUUUGUAGCACAUGUAAACUGCACUGAUGGCUAGAAACCUCCUUUCGUCUGCUGAUAUUUCAGCACCCAAUUCUGUAAUUAUUGCUGUUCUAUUAAACUUGCCCCCUAGUAUACUACUCUGCUGACCUCUACUUUCUAGCAUCACGGUCAACAUGAAGAAUGUCAGCUUCCAGGCAGUAACAUCUGCACAUACAAGCAGCACCAGCACAGUUGCUCUGUGGAUGAGGACACUCAAGGUCAGUGCUUACAAACAAUCCAGAGAUGGCUUUUAUCUGAUGAGGAUGCUUACCUGCAGGAACAACCUACACUUUCAAAAGAGCUACAUCAAUAGCAUGAAACAGCUUACCACAAAAUUACCUCCUUGCUGAAUAUGCAUUCUCAGCAGGAACAUGCGGUCAGCUCCAUCCCACCUCAGGAAAUGAUUGAGAGCUUCCUGAGAACUUCCUGUGCUGAAAGACCAUUCUACCUUCAAUAAAGUUUUCCCACAGCAGUUCUCAGCCAGCCCCAGCAUCCAGCACCCGCCUCUGCAUCUCUCUGUUGCUAUGUGAAGCACAUUCCCUGUGGACCGCCAGGUGUCAAACACACUCAAGUUAUGCCUACGCCAGAAACUUCACACUGUACCUCCCGCUGCUUGCCAGAUCAGGCAGUCCCCACCACGUCAGAGCUUCUGGCCCCUCUCCUGCGUUCCCUGGGACCCACUGUGCUUCUCCCAGUACAGCUGCUCACAGAUGAGAAGAGUACAUGGACUUACAUAGCUACAAGUGCUGACAGCAACAAGUAGAACUGCCAGAUCUCUCUGAGGGAGCACUUCUCUCAGCUCCCGGGGCUGAUCCUCGAGAGCACACUUUUAAGCUCAGUUCUACUAGAAUCCCAAGGGGAACCUGCAGCUUUUUGUUGAAUAACAGAAGUAUGGGCUCUGCAGGGCCAGGAGCUGUAGACCACCCUGCUCCCUCCUGCCGCAGGAGCACAUGGCCGCCGUUGUACCCACUGAAGGUGGUCAUCUUGCCUUGGUUCCUGAUCAUCAUUUGUCGGGUGUUCAAUCAUUUUCAGUGGCAAGUAGGCCAUUAAAAUAUUAGCACAAUUACUUUCAGCUUAGCCGUGAAUGCUGCCACUUCACUUACAGCUCUGGAGGGUGUUUGCUGGAAAGCGGAGGUCUGGUCUUCCCUCGAAGUGUGUGCUUAUCUGUUGCUCCAGUAAAAGACCCCACCUAUUCCCUUGACUUUUCUCCCACUCCCUUUGGUGUGACAUGAAUUGGGCCCUCAUUCACCUGCCCCACACAUAAAGCACCUGCACCACCACAACCAACCCGUGGCACUUUGGUGGUAGGCAGCCCUGGUCCCCUAUCACCUCUGGGGCCUUGGGGAAGGAAGAGGGCUCACUGUGAGGAGUCAGAUUGAACAUCAGGAAAAAUGUCUCCUCAGGAAGAGUGGCGAUACAUUGGAACAGGCUGCCUCAGGAGGCACCGUCCCUGGAGGCAUUCAAGAAACGUGGAGAUAUGAUGCAUCACUGAGGGACACGGUUAGUGGGCAGUAUUGGCGGUAGGUGGACGAUUGUACGAGAGGAUCAUAGAGGUCUUUUCCAACCUUCAUGAUUCUAAGAUUCCGUGACAGGACAGCGGACAACAG